rnacentral:rRNA from 1 species
AUUGAACGCUGGCGGCAGGCCUAACACAUGCAAGUCGAACGAGUGGCGGACGGGUGAGUAAUGUCUGGGAAACUGCCUGAUGGAGGGGGAUAACUACUGGAAACGGUAGCUAAUACCGCAUAACAUCAGAUGUGCCCAGAUGGGAUUAGCUAGUAGGUGGGGUAACGGCUCACCAAGGCGACGAGCCCUAGCUGGGCUGAGCGGAUGACCAGCCACACGGGAACUGAGACACGGUCCAGACUCCUACGGGAGGGAGCAGGGGGGAAUAGUGCACAAUGGGCGCAAGCCUGAUGCAGCCAUGCCGCGUGUAUGAAGAAGGCCUUCGGGUUGUAAAGUACUGUCAGCGGGGAGUCGUUACCCGCAGAAGAAGCACCGGCUAACUCCGUGCCAGCAGCCGCGGUAAUAC